rnacentral:tRNA from 1 species
UUGCUUGUGGUGUAGUGGUUAUCACAUCCGCCUAACACGCGGAAGGUCCCAGGUUCGAUCCCUAGCAGGCACA